AAAAACCGGUGUUUCUCAACACCA
rnacentral:misc_RNA from 1 species